rnacentral:lncRNA from 1 species
CUCCAAUUCCACAAUGAAAGGAAUGGAAGUUUCAAUGCCAUGCAAGCUUGUUAAGAAGUAUAGCAUUUUAUAUACUAUUUUCAGGGGAGAAAUGGGACAAUGCCAGUAGAAAUAAUCACACCAGAGGACCAAGUCAGCAGGAAGCUAAUCAAAUAAUAUUGUAUAAGAGGAUUACUAGGUAUCUCAAAAAUACUAUAGACAAAGAUCAUAUCAGCUAGUAACCAUAGCCCCUAACAGUAGAAAGAGUUGGCUACUCAGGUUUUUGUUUUUAUAAAAUCAUUACAUUGAAAGGAACAAGGGUUGUCCACAUUUUCCUUUCAUAACAUUGCUUUCUGAUGUGUUAAUGAAAACAGUCACCACUGUUCAAGACCAACGUGCCACAAUUUUCUGUCACCAUUGGGAGGCUGUUGUGACUUUGUGGAAAGUUGUUUGGAAGUUUCCUUUCCUGCUGUUUUGUGCCUGCAGAUGGGAAUGGUAUAAAAGAAACAAUAAAAAUGGGCAGUGCCAUUUGUAUGACCUUAUUCUUCCAAAUUAUAGGUUCUUCUGUUCAGUAAUAACAAGUGGUAGUGAGGACAUCCGAUAUUUCCAGAGAAAGAAUUUUCUUGUUGAGAAAAAAAAACCUUCUUGGAAACAGGAAAUCAAUUUUAGUUGACCACAUUUGGAGUCCCAAAUUAAAAGGUUCAUUCUCAAUUUUUUUUUUUCACAACCAGCUUGAAGUUCUAAGGGAAAACCAAGUAUGUAUCUGCAUUUCUUUUCUGUGUGGUUCACAUGAAGAAUAGUUCCCACCUACAAUGGCCAGUUGAAUUUGGACCUUAGUAAGAGAGAAUCGUAACUCUACACCAGACACUCGGAGCUUAAGCACCCCAGCAUCAGUGGUGCCUAGGAGAGCUUGUCCUAGGGACCAUGAAGCUAAAGAGUACAAACGGCUUCUGGGCUGUGAAAUGCCCUGAAGAGAAGGAAG